AGAGUUUGAUCAUGGCUCAGAUUGAACGCUGGCGGAAUGCUUUACACAUGCAAGUCGAGCGGCAGCGCGGGGGCAACCCUGGCGGCGAGCGGCGAACGGGUGAGUAAUGUAUCGGAACGUACCUCGUCGUGGGGGAUAACGCACCGAAAGGUGUGCUAAUACCGCGUACGUCCUGAGGGAGAAAGCGGGGGAUCGCAAGACCUCGCGCGAUGAGAGCGGCCGAUAUCUGAUUAGCUAGUUGGUGGGGUAAAGGCCUACCAAGGCGACGAUCAGUAGCUGGUCUGAGAGGACGACCAGCCACACUGGGACUGAGACACGGCCCAGACUCCUACGGGAGGCAGCAGUGGGGAAUUUUGGACAAUGGGGGAAACCCUGAUCCAGCCAUUCUGCGUGAGUGAAGAAGGCCUUCGGGUUGUAAAGCUCUUUCAGCAGGAACGAAACGGUGCGGGCUAAUACCCUGCAUCACUGACGGUACCUGAAGAAGAAGCACCGGCUAACUACGUGCCAGCAGCCGCGGUAAUACGUAGG
rnacentral:rRNA from 1 species